rnacentral:tRNA from 1 species
UGGGAUGUACCUCAGUGGUAGAUCACUUUCCUAGCAUGCAUGAGACCCUGGGUUUGAUUCCCAGUAUUGCAA